CAGUAGCCGCGGUAAGACAGAGGAUGCAAGCGUUAAUCGGAAUUACUGGGCGUAAAGCGCGCGUAGGUGGUUUGGUAAGAUGGAUGUGAAAUCCCCGGGCUCAACCUGGGAACUGCAUCCAUAACUGCCUGACUAGAGUACGGUAGAGGGUGGUGGAAUUUCCUGUGUAGCGGUGAAAUGCGUAGAUAUAGGAAGGAACACCAGUGGCGAAGGCGACCACCUGGACUGAUACUGACACUGAGGUGCGAAAGCGUGGGGAGCAAACAGGAUUAGAUACCCGAGUAGUCCCUGUCUCUUAUAA
rnacentral:rRNA from 1 species